UACUGAUCAAAACAGGACGAUACAAAAAAAGAGCCUAGUGCAAUUAAACGACUGCUUUGAACAAAUGUCAUUUGAACAUAGCAGUCAGGCUACUGCUUCUUUGUUUUGAGCCAAAGAAAAAAAAAAAAGUUAUAUUUUUUUAUUUAAAAGAAUUGCGUUAAUCGCGCGAUAAAAAAUUUAACGCCGUUAAAAUUGGUUUUCGUUAACGCCGUUAAUAACGCGUUUAACUGACAGCUCUAGUAAAAACAUCUAAUUUGCCGAAAUUUAGUGAUAGGUUACUGACGUCACGGUCAAAUUGCCAAUUGAAAUGAUGCCGAUUAAAAAAAAUACGCAAUUGCCCAGGUUAAGUGUAAAUAUUAACAUAAAGCACAUAUGUGCCUUUUUUCAUAAAUAUCCUUAAUACAUAAUGGGGUCUAUCUAUCAACGUGUGGUGACUGGUGAACCUCAGUAGGGGUUGCGAAUGCAACCCCAUCUUAGCUCCUCCCCCUGCACCCAGGUGCAGAUAAAAAGGCCAAGAUGGCUGAACUCAGCCUCUGUUGGUUGCCUCCUAGGGUGGAUCCCCUGCUGCUGUUUUGUACGGUUUUAGUUGUUCUGUUUAGCUGUGCUGUUUUGUACGGUUUUAGUUGUUCUGUUUAGCUGUGCUGUUUUGUACGGUUUUAGUUGUUCUGUUUAGCUAUGCUGUUUUGUUUUGGUUCCGUUUGCUUUAGUGUUAUUUCCCCUUUUUGGUUUCAUUGUUUGACCUUUGGGUUGUGGGGUUACAUAACCCCUGUUUUGCUGUUUGGUAUGGUUUGGUUUUGCUACACUUUUCUUUAUUUAGUUAUUAUUGUAAUAAAAUAAACAGUUAAUAUAUUUAUUGUCUCUGCCUCUUUUGUUCUCGAACCUGUGUCCUUAUUAUUUCUGUAAUAUCAUAGUUUUAUAUUUCCUGGGGUGUAAUUCCCCAGGUGGCGUUGUCGGUCCCUCUUUGGUUAUUUCCCCCUCCCCUCGUUAAUAUUGAAUUUUAACACUGAGCCCCGCCACAAACGCAUAUGUAGUUUAAAUGUGAUGUAUUUUGUGUAUGUCCAGUCAGACUCAGUGUCUCCGUUGUUUUGUGUGGUCUUGUAGGCUAUACUAUGUGAGCCGUAUCGCCUAACUGAAAUUCUGACCAUUUGUGUCUGUUGGUAUUAAUAAAG
ensembl:lncRNA